rnacentral:rRNA from 1 species
AUUGAACGCUGGCGGCAUGCCUUACACAUGCAAGUCGAACGGCAGCACGGGAGCAAUCCUGGUGGCGAGUGGCGAACGGGUGAGUAAUAGUAUCGGAACGUGCCCAGUCGUGGGGGAUAACGUAGCGAAAGCUACGCUAAUACCGCAUACGAUCUACGGAUGAAAGCGGGGGAUCGCAAGACCUCGCGCGAUUGGAGCGGCCGAUAUCAGAUUAGCUAGUUGGUGGGGUAAAAGCUCACCAAGGCGACGAUCUGUAGCUGGUCUGAGAGGACGACCAGCCACACUGGAACUGAGACACGGUCCAGACUCCUACGGGAGGCAGCAGUGGGGAAUUUUGGACAAUGGGCGCAAGCCUGAUCCAGCAAUGCCGCGUGCAGGAUGAAGGCCUUCGGGUUGUAAACUGCUUUUGUACGGAACGAAACGGUGAGCUCUAAUAAAGCUUGCUAAUGACGGUACCGUAAGAAUAAGCACCGGCUAACUACGUG